CUCCAAGCAGAAGAAGGCAUUGCGAACAAUAGGGUACUGUAAAGGCAAAAGAGUGGUGGUAUUCAAUCCGGGUGAACAGAGUACACUCUGAGAUGGAUCCUGCCAGACAGAAGUCAUGAGUGGUAUUCAGCCUGCCAGGUGGAAACAAGGUCUCUUCUCGCUCCAGAUGCAUUUUAGGAGUGAUUUCUCUAGAUCAAUGAGGUAUGUUGAUGAUAUUUUUAUUGGGAUUGCAUUGAAUCUGUAUAACAGUUUUGGGAGAAUGGCCAUUUUCACAAUGUUUGUUCUUCUUAUCCAUGAGCAAGGGAUGUCUUUCUAUUUUCUGGAUCAUCUUCAAUUUCUUUUUUCAGUGUAUUACAAUUUUCCCUGUAUAGUUCUUUCACUGCUUUCAUAAGAGUAGGUCCUAAAUAUUUCAUUUUUUUGGUUGCUAGUGUGAAGGGUUUGGCUUAUCUUAUUUCUCUCUGUGUGACUUUGUUGUUAGUGUAUAAGAAUGCUAUUUAUUUUGAGUAUUGAUUUUGUAUUCAGCUACAUUACUGAUUUUAUUUAUUAUAUCUAAGAGUCUUUCAAUGGAGUUUAGAGAGUCUUCUAUGUAGAGUACCAUGUCAUCUGCAAAUAACAAUAAUGUAACUUCUUCUUUUACGAUCUUUACUCCUUUUUUUCUCUCUUGUGUCUAAUUCCUAUGGCUAGUAUUUCGAGUACUACAUUAAAUAGGAUUGAGGAUACAGGAUAUCCUUGUCUUGUGCCUGAUUUUAAAGUAAAGGCCUUCAAUUUUUAGCCAUUAAUAUGAUACUGACUGUUGGUUUGUCAUAGAUGGCUUUUAUUAUAUUGAGUUUGAGACCAUCUAUUGCAAUUUUCUGUAAAGUUCUUAUCGUGAAUGAAUAGUGGACUUUAUCUAAAAUUUUUUCUGCAUCUAUAGAAAUGAUCAUGUGAUUCUUACGUUUGGCUUUAUUGGUAUGGUGGAUUACAUUUAUUGAUUUACAUAUGUUAAACCAUCCCUGCAUGCCUGGGAUGAAUCCCACUUGGUCAUGGUGUAAAAUCUUCUUGAUGAUUUGCUGCAUCCUAUUUGCCAAUAUUUUAUUGAUGAUUUUUGCAUCUGUGUUCAUUAGGGAUAUUGGUCUAUAGUUCUCUUUUUUAGUUGGGUCUUUCUCAGAUUUUGUUAGCAAAGUAAUCUUUGCUUCCAGGAAUGACUUAGGAAGGACUGCUUCCCUUUCAAUUUCAUGGAAGAGUUUGAAUAAUGUCAGCAUUAGGACUUCUUUAUAUUUCUGUAGAAUUCUGCAGUGAAUCCGUCUGGGUCUGGGCUCUCUUUUGUAGGUAAGUACUUAAUUAAAUUUUCAAUUUAAUUAAUAGAAAUUGGGUUAUUCAGCAGUUUUACAUCCUCUUGACCUACCUUUGGUACUUCCUAAGUUUCUAGGAAUCUGUCUAUUUCUUGUGUGUUAUCAAACCUUUGAGAGUAGAAGUUUUCAAAAUAGCUGUUGACGAUCUUCUGUAUUUCUAUAGAGUCUGAAGUGAGUUCACCUUUUUUCAUUUCUUAUUGCAUAAAUUUGAGCUUUUUCACCUUUUUAAAAUAAGGUUGACUAGGGGCUUAUCAAUUUUAUUUAUUCUUUAAAAAAACCAACUCUUUGAUUCAUUGACUCUUUGGAUUGGAUUUUUAGUCUCUAUUGCAUUGAUUUCUGCUCUGAUUUUUAUAAUUUCUUUUCUUCUUUUGGCUUUGGGCUUGACUUGCUCUUCUUUUUCUAGCUGUUGAAGUGUAACAUGAGGUUAUUUACUUGUGUUCAUUCUGUUUUCCUGAUGUGGGAACUUAGUGCAAUAAAUUUUUCUCUGAGGACGGCUUUUAUUGUAUCCCACAGUUUCCAGUAAGUUGUAUCUGUAUUUUCAUUUUCUUGUAGAUAUUGUUUAAUUUCUUCUUUAAUUUCCCCUGUUGACUCACUGAUUACUCAAGAGUGUGUUAUUCAGUUUCCAUGUGUUUGUGGCAUUUUUGCAGUAUCUUUUAUUAUUAAUUUCUAAUUUCAUAGCAGUAUGAUCCGAUAACAUGCAAAGAAUAAUUUCAACUCUUUUGUAUUUAUUUAAAUAUGUUCUUUGAGAUAAUAUAUGGUCUGUUUUAGAGAAUGACACUUGUACUGCUGAGAAGAAUGUGUAUUCUGAUGUUGGAUGGAAUACCCUGUAUAUGUCUAACAAGUCCAUUUGUUCACGUGUGUGAUUCUAUUUUGUUAUUUCUGCACUGAUUUUCUGUCUGACUGAUUUGUCCCUUCAUGCCAAUGAUGUGUUAAGGCCUCCUGUCACAAUUGUGUUACUGAUAAUUAGAUUUUUCAUUUCUGUUACUACUUGUUUUAUAUAACUGGGUGCUCUGGAAUUUGGGCAUAUAUAUUUAAGAUAGUUAUCUCUUCCUCUUGAAGUUUUCCCUUAAUGAGUAUGUAAUGAUCUUCUUUGUCUCUUCUGAUCAUUAUUGGUUUAAAGUUCACAUUGUCUGCAAACAUAAUGGCUACACCUGCUUUUUUUGGGGUUCCUGUUGUGUGAAGUAUUGUUUUCCAUCCUUUGAUGACUUUCAUCUGUGAGUAUCCUUCUGGGUUAGAUGGGUUUCUUGUAGUCAGCAUAUGGUUGAAUUUUGUUUCUUGAUCCAUUCUGCCAGUCUGUUUCUUUUAAUUGAUGCAUUGAGACCAUUUACAUUAAUGAUUAUAACUGUUAUAUGUUGGUUUAUUGUUGACAUGUUAUUUUUCUGCUGUUGCAUCUUUAUCUUUCUGUUCUGUUUAAAUAUCUGCUUUGCUUAGUGGUUUUUUCCUAAGUGUAUCUAAACUGUCUUUCAAUAUUUUUUGCAGGGUUGGCUUGGUGAUCAUGAAGUUUUUUAGCUGUUCUUUGUCAUGGAAGAUCUUUUUUCUCUAUUGAUUUUGAAGGAUGGUUUUUCAGGGUACAUUAGUCUAGGUUGGAAAUCAUUUUCCUUUAGGAUCUGGAAUUCUUCACUCCAUGCUCUUCUUGACUUGCUUGUGCUGAGAAGUCUGCUGUGAUUCUGAUAGGUUUUCCUUUAUAAGUGAUCUGUCUUUUCUCUCUGACAGCUUUUAAUAAUCUAUUCUUGUGUUGGAUUUCUGGGAUGGUGAUUAUUAUAUGUCUGUGUGUAGUUUUAUUUUGUUUAUGACUAUUUGGAGUUUUAUAUGCUUCACUGAUCCUGAUAUUGGUUUCCGAUCUCAUGUUUGGGAAAUUUUCAGCUAUUCUUCUCUAAAUAUCCUCUUGACAUCCUUUAUUUCAUCCUCUUCUUUUUCAUUAAACCCUGUCAAUCUUAUGUUGUUAUUCUUUGCAUCAUCUUGCAGUUGUUGAAUAUUAUUUCUUGAUUCUUUGUUAUUUUUAGAAGAUCUUUCCUUUUCCAUUCACUAGCUGCAAUCUUGUCUUCAAGGUCUAAAAUUCUAUCUUCACUUUCAUUGAGGCAGUUUUACAGCUUUCAGUGGAAUCUUUGAUUUCCUGUAUAUCUCUGUGCAUCUGCUCUAUGUAUUCUCUUUGUUCCUAAUAUUGCUCAUCUAGGGAUUCUAUCUUUUUGUUUUGUUCCUCCAAUUUUUUUAAUGUGUUUUUUUUAGAUAUAUUCAGCAUUUCUUUAAUUUCUUUUAUCAUUUCUUCUUUUACCUGGGAUGUUAUUUCUAGUUUGAAUUCCUUUAAAGCUUCCUGGAUUUGCUGGUUUAUUUUCGUUGCUAUUAUGUCUGAUAUUUGAGGUGUAUGGCAUAUAUUUUCUUCUAUAUAUAUCGCUCCUAAGGUUUCUUUCGAUGGGCUGGAGGUUUGAGAUUGUAAUUUGGUCUUUCAUUUUGUCCUUUUCCUAUAUUUCUGUGUUUCAAGUGUUUCAAGUGUUAUUCUAAGGCUUCCUCAGGGUCUAUCGGAAAUCCUCUUCUAUGCUCUCAGCUCCUGGGACUCUGGCAUCCAGUUCCCCCAGGCCGCCUGGCCUCUGGAACUGGUGGCACUUACCUGCUUGCUUAAAACUCCACAGUCCUCCAAGCACACAGGGAGGUGGAUGCAGGUGCCCCAGACCCACCUAGCUGUUCCCAUGUACCUGGAAGCUGUGAGGGUCUCAAACAAGCUGGGCCCCAGGGAAAGUGGGUGUCCACCUGCUUGCUUAGAACUCCAGUUCAAGAGUUUUAAAGCUGCAAAAUGACCUUUGAGAAACAUAAUUUCUCCCUUGACAUGAGUUAAAUGCAGGAUAUUUUGUCUUUGAUUUGUUGCUAUUUUAAAGUGAGAAUUACAGGGACUUUGGAUAAGGGUAUAGUGCUUCUUUACACGUGGGAGGUCAUUGAAUAAUGUAUUUUGGGUAGCAGGAAGUUUAUGAAGACCAUUUCCAAAGUUUCCCAUAAUAACCUCAGUCUCCUGGAAUUCAUGCCUUUAACUGCCUCCUCUCCACCCAUGAAUAUGCAUAACCUUUAUCACUAACACGAUAUUGUGGAAAUGAUAAUAUAUUCACAAGUAAUCUAGAAACAUAAAUAGACUUAUUUGAGGGUAUAUGAUUUCCCUUAUGUUUUCAGGCAUUAAUUUUAGAGUAAGCUUAUUUAUCCCAGUCACCAAAAAUGAUUUGAUUUAGAUAGGAGUCAUACUUGUGGAAACUUACUAAUUCAUUCUCUUUUUAAAAGCAUGAUUAUUUCAAAAGCGAGAAAUUGUAACAAAAUAAACUAUUAGAAAGCAUCAUUCGCUAAUUGAGAUUUAGAUUUGGGUCCAUAGAAAAAAGCAAUGUGUCAUGGGAGGAAUAAUACUUGCAGGCAGUUUCAGAAUUGGAUUUCACAUAUGCCACUUACCUCUGGGUAACCUUACACAUGUCUCCUGACUACUCUAAAUCCUUGUUUUGUCUUUUGGGAUGAGACAUUGUUUACUCUCUGACAUAUUGGGGAAUGUGUAUGAGACAGAUUGAGAAACACUCAAGAACUAGACAACUGUUAUUCUUAUGCUACUGGAGUUCGAGAAGUCCUUCCUAUGCCUAUGUCUUCAAGUACAAAGACUUGUUUUCAUGUUUUCUUCUCAGAGAUUUAUAAUUGUAGCCCUUGAAUUUAUUUUAUGUUAGCUUUAAUUAUAUAAUGUGAGUCACAGGUCCGACUUAAGUAUUUUGAAUGUAGAUACUAGUUGUACCAAAUCUAUAUACUUGAAGGGAAUAUUAUUUCAUCUCCUGAAUGUUCUCAGUAUCCUUGCCAAAGACCAACUGACAGGCAUAUUUACUUAUGGAAUUUUAAUUUUUAACUUUAUUAUUUAUUUUAAAAGUUCUAUGUGUAUGAGGUAUAGUGUGAUAAUUUGAUACAAAUGUAUGAUGUCUAAUGAUCAAAUCAGGAUGGAUUAUGAAUUUUCAUUUCUAGUCCAUUAACCUAUAUAUUGAUCUGUGCUUAUGACACGGUCUUGACUGCUAUGAUUUUAUAGUAAGUUUUUAAAUAAAAAUGUGCAAGUUUCUAA